rnacentral:rRNA from 1 species
UACAGAGGGUGCGAGCGUUAAUCGGAAUUACUGGGCGUAAAGCGUGCGUAGACGGUAGCGUAAGUCAGAUGUGAAAGCCCCGGGCUUAACCUGGGAAUGGCAUUUGGGACUGCAAGGCUCGAGUGCGGCAGAGGAGACUGGAAUUCCUGGUGUAGCAGUGAAAUGCGUAGAUAUCAGGAGGAAUACCGAUGGCGAAGGCAGGUCUCUGGGCUGACACUGACGCUCAUGCACGAAAGCGUGGGGAGCAAACAGG